CUGGGAGAAUGAAAAAGGAGAGUCAGGUGUUUCCCUGGUGUCCUGGGAAAGAAGGAUGCAUGGACUCAGGAAUUCAACAACUGUGCACAGGAGAGAAGACUGUAUUUUUGGUUUGGAACACUGUCAAAAGGUGUUCACUAUUUUGGAAAAUGGCAGUGCCUGACAUCCCUGACAGAAGCGCUUCUCAUGGUGGUGUAGCCACAUGACACUUCUGUAUUAGCCUGGACUUACAGCUGUGGCUUUCAGUAGUGAUUCUACUUACAGGUAUAUACAUCUGACUCUUAUGUCUUCUAGUGUGCUCACGCCUGAGUAUUUCCUUAUUUAAAUACAUAUAUUUUUAUUACAAGUUCUCUUUCUUUUCUUUCUGCCUUAUACUACAGUUAGAGAAUUAUAUUCAUUUUGAAAAAUUGUGUAGCUAGACUACAUUAUCUAUGAAAUUCAUUUCAAGGUGUGAAAGGAGGUAUUGCAAAUAUUUGUAAU
rnacentral:lncRNA from 1 species